GAGAAUCUCAAUAUGGCGUGCGGUUCAGAGUCGGCACCAGAGCGCCACCUAGUGGCGGAAAUGAGCCGGGCGGUACCGUUGCUGUUGGCAGGCAGAUGUCAUUGGAGAACAGCUCCGAGUGGAUGACACAUCCGGUCGCCAUGGUGAGGGCAGUGACAUGCAUCCUCCACUGGGGGGCAGCACUGCACCGCACCAAGCCAGAGCCCUCACCAUGACGUCGGUUUGAUGACACGUCAUACAGACCUCCUCCUCAAAGCAUCUCCUCUCUCCUCAAAGCGUCUCAUCUCUCCUCAGACCUCCUCCUCAAAGCGUCUCCUCUCUCCUCAGACCUCCUCAAAGUGUCUCCUCUCUCCUCUCUGCUCUCUCCUCAGACCUUCUACCAGAGCCACAGUUACAACUUCAACGAGUGGCCUAGACCACCCAAAUAUAUACACCAUCCAUAUAUAUAUAUACACCACCAUUCAAAGUUCGUCACGUAGAAAUUUCCUUAUUUUUCAAAGCACUGUUUUUAUCAAUGAAGAUAACAUGAAAUAAAUCAUAAACUCUCUACAUA